rnacentral:rRNA from 1 species
GACGAACGCUGGCGGCGUGCCUAAUACAUGCAAGUCGACCUUAGUGGCGAACGGGUGAGUAACACGUGGGUAACCUGCCCAUCAGACUGGGCUAACACUUUGAAACAGGUGCUAAUACCGUAUACUGAUGGAUCGACCCGCGGUGCAUUUGCUAGUUGGGGAGGUAACGGCUCACCAAGGCCACGAUGCAUAGCCGACCUGAGGGGGUGAUCUGCCACCUGUGGACUGAGACACGGCCCAAACUCCUACGGGAGGCAGCAGUAGGGAAUCUUCGGCAAUGGACGAAAGGCUGACAGAGCAAAGCCGCGUGAGUGAAGAAGGUUUUCGGAUCGUAAAACUCUGUUCUUAGAGAAGCGGUAUCUAACCAGAAAGCCACGGCUAACUACGUGCCAGCAGCCGCGGUAAUUC